rnacentral:lncRNA from 1 species
AACAAAUUGCGGUGUCACGGGUUAUUGUGCGUAGGUGAGGGAGAGUAUAAAGAUGAGAGGGAAACAAAUUAGAUAAGUGAGGAAGGUGAAUUAGGGUUAGACAAAUGUUUCUGAUUUUUUCAAUUGAGGCUACAAUAAGGAUGACAAAGAAAAGAUUGGAGUGUGAGAGAUGAAAGAGAAAGGGUUGAGAGGACUGAGAGAGGUGAGCAAGGGUUUGGGAUUUUGUUUUUCAGUUUUGAGAAUGAGAGAAAAGGUUGGAGUGAGAGAUGAAAGUGAAAUGGUUGAAAGGAAUGAGAGAGGUGAGUAAGGGUUUGAGUUUUUUUUUUUAAUUUUGAGAAUGAAAAUUAUUAAAAUACCCUUAAU